UGUUAAACGAAAAACCAAACUCAAAUAAGCUCUUUUAAAAAGCAGAUUUUAUCGUUUUAUCUUUGACCGAUUUUACUAAGAUCUUAUGUGAACGAAGAAUAUAAGAUAAAGAUGCUGAGAUCAUCUUUGUUAGAGAAUCCAGAGAGUCCUUUGCGUUCAAAUCCUUGGUCAUCAUCUUCAACUUUCGUUGAUGUUGGUUCUUUGCAGAGAGUUAUUUCUUUAGCAGAGAGAACAGGACACUUGGAAAGAAGGUCAGAUGAAACUGAAGAAAUCACAAGGCGAGCAUCUCUGACAUCGACAUCAAUACAAAUGAUAACAAUUCUUAAGGAUAUUACAAAACUCGGACAUGCACUAAACAAGGUUAAUCGAGAGCUCCAGAAUCUAAUCAGGAAUGCUGAGACGCAAGACGUGACUGACAUUGAUACAUUAGGGCAAAGAGCACAUAAACUGGAGAAGAUGGCAUCACAUUUAUCCUCCAUUGUUGAGAAAAAGGAUGACCUUAUUGCUAGACUUCAACAGCCUUUCAUUGGGGAAUAUCUUGAGAUGGAUUCAGCAUAUCAUUACUCUGUGUCUUCAUCACUUCCAAGGAUUGCAACAUGUCUAGCAACUUUACCAGAACAUUUAGAAAACCUUGAAUGGGCCAAAAGAUUCUCCUUAACUGAUGGACAGCUGGAAAAUGUCCUUGUUGGUAUUGAAGCGUCUUUUGCAGAUCUUCAAAAUCAUUUUCGAGCAGUAAUAAAAGGAAGAAAAGCGAUGGAAAAGCUUCAGAACAUUACUAUAAAAGAGAACUCUCUGCCUAACAAGGAGAAUAAUUAAGGAAGGCAAUAUUCCGAGAAAUUACUUCAGCACAACAGAAAGAUUCUACUAACUCCAUGACAAAAUAACACAGCAAAUCGUUAAACUUUUUCUUUUUUUCUUUUCUUUUUUUUUUUUUUUUUGUGCAACACUCUGUGGCAAAGGUACUUUCUUUCUCAAAACUUUUAGCACCAAAUAAUUUUUUUGCCUAUGAAAAAGAGUUAUAAGUACGAUUCUAAAGAAUCAGGACAAUUAGAAAAAAAGCUGGGUUUUUUACCAUUGGGUUACCGUAAGGUUUUCAACUUUAAUGAAGCAGUUCUGCUGUUGCCUGUCGCGACAAAAAGAUUAAGAUUAACACUUUUAAGACGAAAGCGUCAAAGGAUUUUAUUGUGUGCGUAAAAUAAAUCCUGGUGAACUUCGCUCAAAGGACCGGAGAUUAGCCUUUAUUCAACUAUUCGAAAAUUCACCAAGUUUAUCUCGAACGAGUUCAAAAGUCAUUCAAAACUGACGGCUUUUUUAUUGGUUUAAAAAAAUAAUUUCGGAAGCCCUGCAGGAUUCUUGCUUUGAUGUGGGAGAAAAAACCACUUUUUAAAUAUCUUCGGACUUAAUGUAUUAAUAAAUUAAUGAGACUUAUCCUUCUCUUGUUAGUUUAGCAGUGUCAGUGAAUAAAUCAAGACGAAAUAAUUUCUUUACAAAUAAUUCGUCUGAUAACUUAUAUUCAUUUGCUCGGCCCGACACAGACAUAGUUUUUUUAUUCCUCUUUUCUUGAAAUUUUUGCUAUUCGUCCUUUAACUUAAAGCAAGAAAACAGCUUUAUGGAGCUUACGAGGCAAGUUAUAAUUCAUUCGGAAAGGGAUUCUGACGUUGAACUGACAAUGAAAGAACUAGAACUUGAAGUAGAAGACCUGAGUCCUGCAAGAACUACAAAAAAUAGCGAAGGAAAAGCUAAAAGACUUCGUCGAACAUCGUCAUUUAUUGAGAGAAACAAAAGACAGUUUAAAUUUCGAAGAAAAUCUUCAAGGACUACCAGUACCGGUUCUCUUCUUAUUACAGGAACAUCUAGUCGGUUUCAUACUAUAAAGGAAAGGUUUCAAGAACGAGUUUUGGGAAAAAAUUCAUGCAAGCAAAAUGAGAGUUAUUCUACGAAAAGUAAUCAAACUUGUGACAAAGGUGGCUCAAACAGGACGAAUAAACCGAACUCUAAAGAACUUCACAAAAAAGGACAAAGCUCCAGAGAAGAACACACAGCAUUAAACGAAAAAGAAUAUAACUUUUUACCAAAUAUUUCAAAACAGGCAGAUUCCAGCGCUCAAGAACGAAUCGAAAAGGAUUUCAAAUUGGGAACAAAAGAACGCGGACACUCAAGAAAAAAGAAUUUGAAACCAACUGCUUCGUUUAAAACUUCUUUACCACCGAUAGCGGAACAUUAUGAAAUUUUACCUAGAACAGAAGAAAAUAGACUUGUAGUCUAUCGUACUCCAACACCGUUACCUGUUUUGAAGUAAUUGGGAAGAAAAAGCGGGGAAUCCAACAGUACAAAAAAGAAAAAUUGUACCGCAUAGGAAAGAUGGUAUUAACGAAAAAGUUGAUAGUAUAAUUUUUAUUCGCUGUUAUAGUUUAGAAUGUCGUAAUGAUGAAAAUGUAAAUAUGGCUGAAAUAUGAAAUUUAUAUAACGAUUCAAAAUUUAUUUGACGAUUUUAAAACUGAUUGACCGAUAUUCAUUAGCCUUCAAAUAAAAACACUCGUAGAAGCACGGAAUAAGCAAUACGAAAAGUUACAAUGUUAGGAAUACACUAUGAUUGAUGAAACAGCUUAGAGGUAGUCAGAUAACUGAUGAUGACUGACAGAACGAACCUCGGAGGAUAAUCUCACGUCUCGACGCACUAAUCCUAUUGACCUUCGUUAUUGUCUGAAACGGAUAAUUUAUAGAUAGUGUAGGACUGUUUAAUUCUAGCUCUAGGACAGGUAGGAUCGAUGGUAUUUAAACAGCUGUCCUUAAUCUAUUGCUCUGGAUGAAAUUGUAUGAGAAGCCACUUCAAUA
rnacentral:misc_RNA from 1 species